UACGGGGGGGGCAAGCGUUGUUCGGAAUUACUGGGCGUAAAGGGCUCGUAGGUGGCCAACUAAGUCAGACGUGAAAUCCCUCGGCUUAACCGGGGAACUGCGUCUGAUACUGGAUGGCUUGAGUUCGGGAGAGGGAUGCGGAAUUCCCGGUGUAGCGGUGAAAUGCGCAGAUAUCGGGAGGAACACCAAUGGCGAAGGCGGCUCACUGGCCCGUUACCGACGCUCAGGCGCGACAGCGUGGGGAGCAAACAGG
rnacentral:rRNA from 1 species